AUGCCCGUCCUCACUUCCGGCCACCCUCCCUACGCCUCUGUGCUCCAGCCACGCUCUUCUCUCGCUGUUCUCAACAAGUCAGGCAAACCUCCGCUUCAAGACCCUCCCACUCCGAGCGCCUUUCCCCCACUCCCACUGACUGAAAAGCAGAAAAAACCGUUCCAUUUUGGAAAGGCCAGUCAUGCUUACAAAGUCCUCAACAAGGGUCUGUUGAGAACUGACCUUAGUAACAUGCGUAGCCUCCAUAACGUUGAUCGUAAUGCAGGUGAAGGAAUGAAUGAAGACUAUCCAGUAGAAAUUCAUGAAUAUUUAUCAGCAUGUGAGAAUUCCAUUGGUGCUGUGGAUGAAAUGCUGAAGACCAUGAUGUCUGUUUCUAGAAAUGAGUUGUUGCAGAAGUUGGACCCACUUGAACAGGCAAAAGUGGAUUUAGUUUCUGCUUACACAUUAAAUUCAAUGUUUUGGGUUUAUUUGGCAACUCAAUCCCAAGGAACAUCCAGUAAAGCAGGAAUUGGAGAGAAUCAGAGUAUACAUGAACAGAGUCAAGGAAAUAACAGACAAGAAAAAGGCUGGCAAGCUGGACAGGGGUGCGGCUUCAAGAUUUGUAAAAAAUGCCCUCUGGGAACCAAAACCUAAAAAUGCAUCCAAAGUUGCCAAUAAAGGAAAAAGGAAAAAUUAACCUUUCAGUUUUGAUGUACACAUAUUUUAAAAGUACAUAAUUUUUAUUGUUUUCCACAAAAUGGAUGAUGAUUAUGUGGCACUGUAAGGUUUAAAUGUAUUCCUUAUUGAAUUCAUGUAUAAAACUUGCAUUUGAAAUUCAUAAUGGUAAAAACUUUUCCCCCCAGGAAGAUUGUUAUCUUUGUUGGUUUUCCUAUAGAACACUAUGAGGUUUUUAACAUUGUAGUGUGUAUAUAUAUAUAUUAAUGUUUUAUUUUAUAUGGGAGUAUAGCUGAUUAAUAACAUGAUAGUUUCAGAUGGACACGGAAAGGACUCAGCCCUCCAUUAUACAUGAAUUGAUUCUCCCCCAAACUCCUCUCCCAUCCAGGGUGCCACAUAACAUUGAACGGAGUUCCAUUUGCUCUAUAGUAGGUCCUUGUUGAUUAUGCAUUUUACGUUUAUGCAUACAUUUACAGCAGUGUAUACAUGUAAUCCCAAGCAACAUUGUAGUAUAUAUUAUAUGUAUAUUUUACUGUCUCUUGACCAGACUCUUAUUUGCUUAGGUCAGUCUUUCAAGUGCCAUUUUAUAAGCAACUAUUAAGUUUAAAUUAAAUGUUCCUCGUAAACAUUUGUCUAUUUCGAUGAAUAAUGAUUUUAUGACAUAUGCUGAAGUUAUAAAUACAUCUGUUCUCACUAUAUGAUAUUAAGAAAGAGUGAAAUGACUUAAAUGUCCAUUUUUUCUCUGUAGUUAUUUCAUUAUGCUUUCAUGAUUUUGGGAAUUACUGCUUUCUGUGGUAUUUGAAGUAUGAAAUUAAGACUUUAAGGUUAUUCUUUAAUUCUUGGCACUUUGCCACUAUGUCCCAUUUAAAGUAAAAUACAUUCUCAUUAACUUUAGAUGGGAAAUGAGGUUGUAUAUUGAUGGCUGAAUUUUGACAUAAUAGCUAUACCCUAUCAAAGCUAUUAAUGUAUGGCUGACCUGUUUUUAAUUUUUCUCUUUUGAGUAAAUGUUUCCUUGAAAUUAGGAAGAUUGGUUUUAGAAGUCCUUAGAAGUGGAGGAAUUCAUGAGUUUUUGUUCUUUGUGCAUAGUGCCGGUAGUUAACUUGGCCUCAAUUUUUUCAGAUUUCUUUUAAUAUUUAUGAGGGUAUAACAAGUAUGUACAAGUAUUUUGGAACAACUUUGUAUGUUAUAUAAUGCCACUUAAUCAGAGGAGAAAUCUGAAGGAGAGUACAUUGUAUUUAUAUUCUGAUUUGUUUUUCUAUAAUAUUUGUUACUGAGAAUUCUAAAUAUUAAAACUUUUUAAAUGUCUAAGCCCAAGAAUUUUAAUUAUAUACCUUUAAUGCUUUCAGUCUUUGAAUUCACAUCAUUAUGUAUAGGAAUGCCAAAUACAGUAAAGUACUUGUACUUUAAUUUUUGAAAAAGAAGUUGUUAAAAUUUUCUGUGUGAUUAAUUCCCCAUAAGUAACCUUGAAUAAAUGGAUUUCUUGAUUUAUGA